rnacentral:rRNA from 1 species
GACGAACGCUGGCGGCGUGCUUAACACAUGCAAGUCGAACGGAAAGGCCCUGGUUUUGUGGGGUGCUCGAGUGGCGAACGGGUGAGUAACACGUGGGUAACCUGCCCUUGACUUUGGGAUAACUUCAGGAAACUGGGGCUAAUACCGGAUAGGAGCACCUGCUGCAUGGUGGGGGUGGGAGAGUUUCGGCGGGUGGGGAUGGAGUGGCGGCUUAUCGGGUUGUUGGUGGGGUAGUGGCUUACGAAGGCUUUGACGGGUCGCCGGCCUGGGGGGGUGACCGGCCACAUGGGGAUUGAGAUACGGCCCGGCUCCCUCCGGGAGCCAGCGUUGGGGAAUAUUGCACAAUGGCCGGAAGCCUGAGGCAGCAACGCCGCGUGCGGAAGGACGGCUUUCGGUUGUUAACCCGCUUUCCCAGGGGCCGAAGCUUAUGUGACGGUAAUUGGAGAAGAAGCACCGGCUAACUACGUG